AAAAAGGCAAACCCUGAGUUUUCGUGUCCAACUUUAAUUGUCCGUCUUAUAUGAAACUUUUUUAUAAUUCGUAUUUUUAUUGUUGUUAGAUGAUAAAAUAUGAUUAAUACUUUAUGCGUGACUUGUCUUUUUAUUUUUUUAUAAUUUUUUAAAUAAGACGGAAGGGAGUAACCAAGAGGAAUAUCAUCGGCACAGAGA
rnacentral:pre_miRNA from 1 species